rnacentral:tRNA from 1 species
GGUCCAGUAGUGUAGCGGUUAACAUGUCGGUCUGUCACACCGAAGAUCGCGGGUUCAAUUCCCGUCUGGACCGCCA